rnacentral:lncRNA from 1 species
AAAUACCUAGAUGAUUUUAGUGUUCUCACAAUUAACACAGCCACCAGAGGAAGAAAGAAGAAAGAAAUGGUGAUGGAAAUUAGGUGGGGUAGGGUAUGGCAAUGUAUCUGUAUGGAUGGAAAUAGUGGCUGUCUUCUAUUUCUAGGUAUUAAUGAUUUAUUUAUUUUAUAUUUAACGUGUAGUAAGAAUCUAUAUACUGUUGAAUCAUAAGUUUGAUUACUGAACACUUUGUUUUUAUUAUACAUUUGAUUGGUAUAUAUUCUGGGUUAGCUCGACAUGUUAUAUAUAUAUAAUUCUAAACUCUGGACUACAAAAGGGUAAUUUGAUUAUGCAGUAUUUGUUGGAAACAGUUUGAACAGAUUCUGUCAGAAAUCUGACAGAAAUCUGACAAGGUCUUUGGCUGGACAUUUUGAUAUGUUCUAGAGCUCCGUUGAGCGAGAUCUUGGUACGUAUGGAAUCCUCGUUCCGAGUAGAUGCUCGCAGAAUAUUCAUACGUCUAAAACUAUUCCAUAUUGAAUGAGAAAUUGGUGUCCCAAGUUCCAAACAACUUGAAACAAAGCAAGGAAAAUCACAUUUGACCCAUGUAGAUAAGGUUUUGUCUAGAAAAACCCCUCAUAUACAAUAAGGGUGUGACCCUUGGGGUUACAAUGUUUUCGUGCGUUGGGCGUAACCUUACAUGGGCUUGGGCUUGAAAAAAACACACACGCGCGCGCCGUCCGUCCGGCUCGGGCUCGGGCAUGGAUCUUGGAUCUUGGUGAUCCAACAUAAUCUUUUUGGUAGAAAGGUCCAUUGGAAUAAAUCCCAAAUAAGUGCAUACCUAUUUCGAACCGGUUUGCUACUGGUUCGGCCCAGAUAGGUGCAACCUUUCAUAAAACUGUUUCGGGCCCAAAAGUUGUAUCCCUUGAUGAAACUGUUUCAAGCCCAAAGUGUCUGUUCAGCCUAAAUGGGUGUGUCUGUUCAUAGAACUGGUUCGACCCAUUAGGUGUGUCUGUUCAAUGAACUGUUUCGGCUCAAGUGUCUGUUCACUUAGUUUUCUCUUGCUAUAAAUACCUUGUCAGUGUCUGCAUUGUUCAUUCAUUCUAAAAACCUCAUAUUCAUUAUCAUUCAUUGUCUGUGUGUGUCCUUGAGAGAGUUACAUCACUGAACUGGUUCGCCGUCUUCGUUUUGUUUGAAGUGCUGCUACACGACGAAGGUAUUGAUCGUUGUAUCCUGGGAGACAGAUUGCAUUACACCCAUACAGCACCUGUUGGGGCAAAUUAUGUCUUAAGGACAGAGAUUUUCUCGACUCGAUCACAUCAUACUGUCCUUAGUUAUUGUUCUGGUUUGCAUACUUUAUUUAUUCUGUUUUUACUUAGAAUUAUACUUAUGCAUUACUAACAUACCGCCCAACAUUCUUAAGACAUCAUCAUAUGUUAGUAUUUUGGUUUACUGUUCUAAUAUUUUGAAACAGGAUAUAUUAAGUAUUAGUCAGAUUUCGAAAAUUAUUAUAUUUUCAGAAAUUUGAACCCUUUGUUCAAUAUAUUUCUUUUUAUUGUUUAUAUCCGAAAUUCUAUAAUUUUCGUAUUGCAGACACAAGUAGAGAAAAUAAAAUUUUCUGGUUGUUUAAUUUGUCUGAAUAUUUUGUUUCAGACAAAUGGAAGAGUCACAAACUCAUGUCCCCGCGAACAAUGGAACUAUCAAUGGAAGUUCAGCU